GCCCCUUUGCUAGCUAGCUGAGCAACAGCCCAAAAACAAGGAUGUCUUGGGGACUCAUAUGCACAGCAGCAUGAGUAAAAUGUUGCACCUUGGGAGUGAGAGGCAUUUGCAAUCCAAUAUAAUUAAGCAUGUGAGGCAUCCGGAAUUCAGUUUUGUCAAUAUGCAUACCUUGAUCACUGUCUGCUCGAUGUCAGGUUGCGUGAGGGGU
rnacentral:pre_miRNA from 1 species